CCCGCCACUAAGCAUGUCUGAUAAAGUGACAGUGUUUAAUCCAGUGGAGGCUGAUAGUGACCCAGCUCUAGGAAGCAGGGCUGCUCAACUAAGUGGGUAACCUUGUGCCAAAUGAUUUGGAACAAUG